GGGAAUUUUGGGCAAUGGGCGAAAGCCUGACCCAGCACCGCCGCGUGAGGGAUGAAGUAUUUCGGUAUGUAAACCUCGAAAGAAUGGGAAGAAUAAAUGACGGUACCAUUUAUAAGCUCCGGCUAACUACGUGCCAGCAGCCGCGGUAAUACGUAGGGAGCAAGCGUUGUUCGGAUUUACUGGGCGUAAAGGGCGCGUAGGCGGCGCGGUAAGUCACUUGUGAAAUCUCUGAGCUUAACUCAGAACGGCCAAGUGAUACUGCUGUGCUAGAGUGCGGAAGAGGCAACCGGAAUUCUUGGUGUAGCGGUGAAAUGCGUAGAUAUCAAGAGGAACACCGGAGGCGAAGGCGGGUUGCUGGGCCGACACUGACGCUGAUGCGCGAAAGCCAGGGGAGCAAACG
rnacentral:rRNA from 1 species